GUGGGGAAUCUUAGACAAUGGGGGAAACCCUGAUCUAGCCAUGCCGCGUGAGCGAUGAAGGCCUUAGGGUUGUAAAGCUCUUUCAGCUGGGAAGAUAAUGACGGUACCAGCAGAAGAAGCCCCGGCUAACUCCGUGCCAGCAGCCGCGGUAAUACGGAGGGGGCUAGCGUUGUUCGGAAUUACUGGGCGUAAAGCGCACGUAGGCGGAUCAGAAAGUCAGAGGUGAAAUCCCAGGGCUAAACCUUGGAACUGCCUUUGAAACUCCUGGUCUUGAGGUCGAGAGAGGUGAGUGGAAUUCCGAGUGUAGAGGUGAAAUUCGUAGAUAUUCGGAGGAACACCAGUGGCGAAGGCGGCUCACUGGCUCGAUACUGACGCUGAGGUGCGAAAGCGUGGGGAGCAAACAGGAUUAGAUACCCGUGUAGUCC
rnacentral:rRNA from 1 species